UUGCUUCGUAUGAUUUAGUUGUUGGUAUACACGAUAUCUGACCAGUUCCGCGGCGGAUGGAUAUAGUCAGAAUUACUCGUCGCAGAACCACCCAGCUUUAGUUGGAGAGGAAGGGCGGUGGCGAGAGCAACACCUGAGAGGAACAUCAUACAGCAUUGAUUAGCUGUGAGGACCAUCACAUAUAGCACACCAGCAGCCGUACACGGAAAAGUCGUACAUGAUGAAAACCAGCGAUUCAUCUCAGCCUUCAACAUCUUGUAUGUAAAAAAACUGGUGACAGAGCAAAAGUAUCACUGAGUUACUUGAUUGGCUUGAGACAGAACAUCCAGCUUACUCAGGGGUUGUAAGGGUUAGGUCCAUUCUUACAGCUGUCCAGCCUCUUGGAAACCCAGACUUCGGGGACUGUGCCACUGGCUCAGUGGGGGCUGGUUCAGCUUAGUUAGAUGGGUUUGUUGGAUGCUAAUGUCUCAAAACAAUCUUUCGUAUAUGCUGUUUAGAAAUACUCCAUGAAUUGAUUACUCUUGUGGGACUUAUGAUCAUCAUGAUUGAAACCGAGAACGUUAACAUUUACGAAAAAGUAACAGUUCAAGGCACCCACUACCAGUAGACCACACUUUGAAUGAUGACAAUAUCCACAUGAAUGAAUCUGUUCUAAUUCAUGUGACCAUUGUCAACACAAUCAGGAAAAUUAAGGUUUAUGUUUAAUACUAAACGAAAUCAAUUUACGUUGUAAAUAUCUCAGCUCUAGUACUAGUAGCUGCCCCUGGUGGUUCGAUUAAGACAGUGUAGGGGCUGAGUUAGGCCCGGCUCUUUCCUUAAACAUUCAUGUCAUGACCAGCCGGUAUUACAAGCCUCUCGAUACAGUGCCCGCAUGUAAGGAGUCGGCAGACGAGGCUGACGUCCCCGCUGUGUGCUGGCCGGUGAGACGUCAGAAAGGACCACGAGACUCAGCAGAUCCCCGCUCUCAGAUUUUAUU